AUCAGGGUUCGAUUCCGGAGAGGGAGCCUGAGAAACGGCUACCACAUCCAAGGAUGGCAGCAGGCGCGAAAAUUACCCACUCCCGGCACGGGGAGGUAGUGACGAAAAAUACGGAUACGGGACUCAAACGAGGCUCCGUAAUUCGAAUGAGUACAAUUUAAAUCCUUUAACGAGGACCAAUUGGAGGGCAAGUCUGGUGCCAGCAGCCGCGGUAACUCCAGCUCCAAAAGCGUAUAUUAAAGUUGCUGCAGUUAAAAAGCUCGUAGUUGGAUCUGGGUUGUGCGUUCACGCGCCUUGACUUGUUCGUCAGAUUUGGUUAAACCGGGCUGAUGUUCAAGUUGGUGUAGUGGGCGUGCUGCCUUUCAGCCGUGUCUGUGCAAACGGGUGCUGACUGGGUUGAUGAGCUUGUCUUGUUAACCUGUUG
rnacentral:rRNA from 2 species